rnacentral:lncRNA from 1 species
GUGACCUCAGGUAGUGAGGCAAGAAGUUAAGUUACAGGACCAACACUUUCCAACACUUUGAAGGGUCCCAUGAAGUGAGAACUAAUUUACCUCUCUUCCCAAAUCGCAUGUUUUCUUUGGGUGGAAAGACCUUGAGGAAGACAUGGUCAGUCAUAGCAAAUUCUAAAUCCUUCCUUUGAUUAUUGGUGUAACUCUUUUGUCAGCUCUGAGUAAUAAGGAGAUUCUUGCGGAUGACGGCACUUUUAUCCACAGUGUCUUAAAUAAGGUUUGGUCCAGAGGAAUGUUUCCAACUUCAUUCUAACAUGUUAGAGAUCGGCAGGACCUACCAUAAAGGAC